AUUUUCUCCAGUUGCCGCCUAAACAUAUAAGGAAGAUUAUAAACUGAAGACAAAAAAGAAUACCACUUUGAACGUGUAAUAAACUAGGAAAGGAGAAGAACAUGUCAAGAUAGAGUACCUGAAUGUACCAACUCGUGAAUCACUUGCUUCACUGGUCUGAACCAUUACCAUAGCCAUUGCUAUAAGAGCACCCUGACGAACAAAAU